GAACGCUGGCGGCGUGCUUAACACAUGCAAGUCGAACGAACCUUCGGGUUAGUGGCGGACGGGUGAGUAACGCGUGAGAAUCUGCCCUCAGGAGGGGGAUAACAGCUGGAAACGGCUGCUAAUACCCCAUAUGCCGCGAGGUGAAAUGAAUUUCGCCUGAGGAUGAGCUCGCGUCUGAUUAGCUAGUUGGUGUAGGUAAUGGCUCACCAAGGCAUCGAUCAGUAGCUGGUCUGAGAGGAUGAUCAGCCACACUGGGACUGAGACACGGCCCAGACUCCUACGGGAGGCAGCAGUGGGGAAUUUUCCGCAAUGGGCGAAAGCCUGACGGAGCAACGCCGCGUGAGGGAUGAAGGCCUCUGGGCUGUAAACCUCUUUUAUCAAGGAAGAAGAUCUGACGGUACUUGAUGAAUAAGCCACG
rnacentral:rRNA from 1 species